rnacentral:rRNA from 1 species
AACGAACGCUGGCGGCGUGGCUAAGGCAUGCAAGUCGAGCGGAUCUAUCCAACGGGUAACUGGAGGGUAGAUUAGCGGCGGACGGGUGAGGAAUACAUGGACAACGUACCCUAGACUCAGGGAUAGCGGCGGGGAAACCCUUUGCGAAAGUGCCGGUAAUACCUGAUGACCUCGUAGGAUCGCAUGAUCCAUCGAGCAAAGCUCCGACGGUCUGGGAUCGGUUCAUGCCUAUCAGCUAGUUGGCGGGUAACGGCCCACCAAGGCGGCGACGGGUACCGGGUGUGAGAGCAUGACCCGGCACAUCGGAACUGAGACACGGUCCGGACACCUACGGGUGGCUGCAGCAACGAAUAUUCCGCAAUGGACGCAAGUCUGACGGAGCGACGCCGCGUGCA